rnacentral:lncRNA from 1 species
CCCACACCUGAAGCACUUGCCAUCUCGUUGCUCACACUGCUGUGGGUAGUGAGGACCCCCACAAAUAACACAACAUGCCGAGGACCGACUGCGAUACGNUACGGACACUCGUCUCGCGCAUGACCGGACUGCCCACACCUGAAGCACUUGCCAUCUCAUUGCUCACACUGCUGUGGGUAGUAAGGGCCCCCACAAAUAACACAACAGGCCGAGGACCGACUGCGAUACGUCCCCGGAGCUCGGGAUCGCGAGCGCGAACUCACUAAGGUCUGCUGAGAACUUGACUGACCAUCAUACCCACUUGCUGGCCGUUCUUUUCCUUUUUUCUUGUAAUA